rnacentral:rRNA from 1 species
UGGGGAAUAUUGCACAAUGGGGGAAACCCUGAUGCAGCGACGCCGCGUGAGCGAAGAAGGCCUUCGGGUCGUAAAGCUCUUUUAUAUGGGAAGAUAAUGACGGUACCAUAAGAAAAAGCCACGGCUAACUACGUGCCAGCAGCCGCGGUAAUACGUAGGUGGCAAGCGUUGUCCGGAAUUAUUGGGCGUAAAGCGCGCGCAGGUGGUUUAGAAAGUCUGAUGUGAAAGCCCACGGCUCAACCGUGGAGGGUCAUUGGAAACUAAUAAACUUGAGUGCAGGAGAGAAAAGUGGAAUUCCUAGUGUAGCGGUGAAAUGCGUAGAGAUUAGGAGGAACACCGGUGGCGAAAGCGGCUUUUUGGCCUGCAACUGACACUGAGGCGCGAAAGCGUGGGGAGCAAACAGG